rnacentral:rRNA from 1 species
GACGAACGCUGGCGGCGUGCUUAACACAUGCAAGUGGAGCGACGAACCAGGCUUCGGCCUGGGGCAGAGCCGCGAACGGGUGAGUAACACGUGGGUAACCUGCCUCGAUGACCGGGACAACCCGAGGAAACCCGGGCUAAUACCGGAUGUGCUCCUUCACAUCAGUGAAGACAGGAAAGGAAGCUUCGGCCUCCGCAUCGAGAUGGGCCCGCGGCCCAUUAGCUUGUUGGUGAGGUAACGGCUCACCAAGGCUGCGAUGGGUAGCUGGUCUGAGAGGACGAUCAGCCACACUGGGACUGAGACACGGCCCAGACUCCUACGGGAGGCAGCAGUGGGGAAUCUUGCGCAAUGCGCGAAAGCGUGACGCAGCAACGCCGCGUGGGGGAAGACGGCCUUCGGGUUGUAAACCCCUUUCAGGAGGGACGAAGCCAGAGCGGUUAAUAGCCGACUCGGGUGACGGUACCUCCA